UACGAAGGGGGCUAGCGUUGUUCGGAAUUACUGGGCUUAAAGCGUGUGUAGGCGGGCGGGCAAGUACCUUGUGAAAUCCCACGGCUCAACCGUGGAACGGCUGGGUAUACUGCCUGUCUUGAGCCAACUAGGGGCGAGCGGAACAGACGGUGGAGCGGUGAAAUGCGUAGAUAUCGUCUGGAACGCCGAAGGUGAAAACAGCUCGCUGGGGUUGUGCUGACGCUGAGACACGAAAGCCAGGGGAGCGAACGGG
rnacentral:rRNA from 1 species